CUGGCCCUAUCACAUGUUUAUUUUUCUAGAUAAGCUUGAGAAUCACUCUAAUUUUAAAAACUUGGAAUUAUCUGUUAAUUUGAGAAAGUGGCAAUAUUUUCCCCACAUAUUCCUGCACGAGUAUAUAUGGCUCUUUUGGUUUGUAUUUCUGUAGUGGUUAGUGUUUUCCAAGCAAAGUUUGGUGCCUAUAUUUCAAGCAGAAAUCUUAGACUGGAAUUUCUUUUAAGGACUAGUAAUGUUAAUGUGAAAAAUUUUGAACUCAUUUAAACUAUGCUCCCCCCAAAUGACUUUGGGAUGGGAGGGCACAAAAUAUUACAUUUCUGAAAACCAAGACGAUUUACACAUUUUGAAAUGCUUCAUCAGUGAUAAUGAAAACAUGUUUCCCUCACUCUAUUGAGAUUCAGUCUGCAAAAUCCCAGCACUAGAACAUUAAACAAAUAAAGACUAUAAUUACAGCCCCAUUCUGUAUAUAUCCUAUGAGUCAAUAUUAAGUUGGCAUUAGCAUCAACUAGUAAACUAUGCCUGUCCACUAGGCAUUGAUUUUCCCUCCAUUGGCUUACUUGCACCAUUUCUCCAAUGUGUGGGAAGAAAACCUGACUUCAAUUUGCAUCUAAGAUGAGGUGUGUAUUUAUUUUUGCUCUUGGUUUGAAUUAGAAAUAAACUAGAGCAAGUGGGAAUGUACCACAGGAUGUGGUCCCUCGAGUUCCUGUGACCUCAACAUUUGCAACAGAAAACAACUCCAAAUACUGGUUUCAAAGGUUGAUUUUUCACAAUAAUAUAGAAGGAAAAUAUAUUCCUUUUACAUGCAAACGGACACACAUCUAAGCAGUCAAGCUGCUUAUCUAUCAGUGGGGACCACGUGGGAAAAUCCAUCGCCACCAGACAAGCUGAAGGCAGCCGAGAACUCAUGACACAGCACAGUAAAUCCUGCCAGGGAUCCUGCAGCUCACACUAUGACAAGUAGAACUGGGAGCAGUUAUGAUGUUCAUCUAUUCCUUGAACUCAAAUACUGGACUAACUUGAGCACGCCUGAAGCCUUGUCUUAUCAGAGACAGAAAAAUGAAAAACCAGAAAGGAUGCCUCGAAAGUGUUUGAGCAAGUGUAUGCUUAUGCACAAAACCAUCAUGUCCCUUGGUCCUUAGGACAGCUCUGUGAGGUUUCCAUCCUUUGCUUUCAGACAAGGCAACAGGCACUCAGAAAGGUUCAGAAAUUAGUCUGAGGUGAAGCAGCUGGUGAGACUGAGAGCUGAGACCAAAUGCAUCUACUUUCUCUGAAACCCAAGACUGACCUUGGUGUCGCAGAAUUUUCUUGUCUGAGGACAGAAGAGGAAAAUAACAGUAGUAGAAGAUACACUUAAUGAAAAAGAAGCUUCUAGCAUCCUACUAGACUGCUGAAGACAAAAUUAACCAAAGUCCCAAGGGAUUGGCUAAUAUCCUUGGCCUUGACCUCUAAUCAGUGGACUUGAGGGUUAACUGUUGAUUGUCAAGUGGAUCAGAGUGAAGCACACCUAGGACAUUGGUAUAGCCAACUUCCGGGUGUGUCUUCAAGGGCAAUUCCAGAGAGGAUGAACUAAGCGGGAAGAGGACUCACCUCCUGAAUGGGGGGAACACCAUUCAACAGACAGGAGGAGUCGAUGGAAUAAAAGGGGAAGGAGAAGGAAGCGCACACGCCCUCCUCUCCUCUUCCUGGCCACCAUGAAAUGAGAGUAUUCUCCUCCGCUUCUAGCUCUUGCCUCCAUGUCCAGUUUAUGAUCAACAGAGCCUUCCCCACACAGACUUCAACCUCUGAAACCACAGGCUAAAAGAAGCCCUUCUUCUCCUAAGUUGUGUGCAUGGGGAUUUUGUCACAGUGAGAAUAAACUAUCAGAAACAGCCCCUGGAACAACCUAUGCUACUAACCCCAUGUGACCUGCACAUUCGCUACUAAAGGAGGCCGCUGAGCCUAUUUUUGUUAAACUUCCAGCCUAGAGCUAGAGCUAUUCUUGUUCAUGGUAGAUUUUUAUCCCCUAAAUAAGACUCCAGGCUCUAUAAACAGGGUUGCAAUAAUGUACUCCAGAGUGUAUAUAUUAUAAAUGCGUGAAGAGAAGAACAUAUUUUCCGAUUCUUGGUGGUAUAUUUCUAUAGCAUAGCCUGCAGGAAACAAGUUAUUGACACACACAUGUCUGGCACCCAACAAUCUGGUAUCUGUACUAUGCGGAGCUGGGAAUCUUUCCAGAAAUGUUUCCAAGAAGAUUUUUCUGGGAGGUGGUUUCUUUUAGGUGUAAUUGAAAGGACUUUAAGCUUCCUAAUGUGAGUAACUGGUAGAAAGGUAGGGCUGUAAAGGAAUCUGCAUCCCUCCAAAUAAUUCCCCAUGAGGGAAAUUAAAGAAAAGAGAACUAAGCAGGAUUAGAUAGGGUUCCUCGUUCCUGUGACCCCAACACUUUCUCUUAGAGGUCAGAGUUGGGACGCAGAGGAGACUUUCUCAGUCUGUGAGAUGGGGGGUACUCCCUUAGACCCAGAUGGGGCUUCCUGGAACCCAUGGUCACCAAGGGGGUACUGCACAGAUCCUCCCAACCCCACCAGCACUUCUGGGUGAGUGUUUUCUUGUCACUUUGUCCUUCCUGUGCCCAGCAGGGUGGACUACAUCAACAGUGCUCUAAAACAAAUUAUUACACUGAAUUGAGUUUGUAGGCCAAAUAGUCCUUUCCCCUAUCUCUGUAACAUCACAUCAUGAGUAAGAAAA